AUCCUACUGACGAGUCCUAAAUAGGACAAAAUGCGCGUCCUUGGAU
rfam:Schistosoma mansoni strain Puerto Rico chromosome W, complete genome